UAUGGUAUGUGGGUAUAAGCCUGAUGGCC
rnacentral:piRNA from 1 species